AGUGAACGCUGGCGGUAGGCCUAACACAUGCAAGUCGAACGGCAACACAGUAAGAGCUUGCUCUUACGGGUGGCGAGUGGCGGACGGGUGAGGAAUACAUCGGCAUCUACUUUUUCGUGGGGGAUAACGAAGGGAAACUUACGCUAAUACCGCAUACGACCUACUGGUGAAAGCAGGGGAUCUUCGGACCUUGCGCGAUUGAAUGAGCCGAUGUCGGAUUAGCUAGUUGGGCGGGUAAAGGCCCACCAAGGCGACGAUCCGUAGCUGGUCUGAGAGGAUGAUCAGCCACACUGGAGCUGAGACACGGUCCAGACUCCUACGGGAGGCAGCAGUGGGGAAUGUUGGACAAUGGGCGGAAGCCUGAUCCAGCCAUACCGCGUGGGUGAAGAAGGCCUUCGGGUUGUAAAGCCCUUUUGUUGGGAAAGAAAAGCAGCAGGUUAAUACCCCGCUGUUCUGACGGUACCCAAAGAAUAAGCACCGGCUAACUUCGUG
rnacentral:rRNA from 1 species